rnacentral:rRNA from 1 species
GUAGGUGGCAAGCGUUGUCCGGAAUUAUUGGGCGUAAAGCGCGCGCAGGCGGUUCUUUAAGUCUGAUGUGAAAGCCCACGGGCUCAACCGUGGAGGGUCAUUGGAAACUGGAGAACUUGAGUACAGAAGAGGAAAGCGGAAUUCCACGUGUAGCGGUGAAAUGCGUAGAGAUGUGGAGGAACACCAGUGGCGAAGGCGGCUUUCUGGUCUGUAACUGACGCUGAGGCGCGAAAGCGUGGGGAGCAAACAGGAUUAGAUACCCUGGUAGUCCACGCCGUAAACGAUGAGUGCUAAGUGUUAGGGGGUUUCCGCCCCUUAGUGCUGCAGCUAACGCAUUAAGCACUCCGCCUAGGGGAGUACGGCCGCAAAGGCUG